rnacentral:rRNA from 1 species
UACGAGGGGGGCAAGCGUUGUUCGGAAUUAUUGGGCGUAAAGGGCGCGUAGGCGGUUUGACAAGUCUUAUGUGAAAUCUCUGGGCUCAACCCAGAGUCUGCAUGGGAAACUGUCGGGCUUGAGUAUGGGAGAGGUGAGUGGAAUUUCCGGUGUAGCGGUGAAAUGCGUAGAUAUCGGAAGGAACACCUGUGGCGAAAGCGGCUCACUAGACCAUAACUGACGCUGAGGCGCGAAAGCUAGGGGAGCAAACAGG